rnacentral:lncRNA from 1 species
GCUAUAUGAGCUUCCAAAAUCUACAUUUAUGCCCCGCAGCAUCUGCUCGAUUAAGGUGCCCUUUUUUUUUACACGAAAUUCAAUUAUAUUAAUCAAGAGUCAAGAUUAUUACAAUCAACUUUUACCUAUUGUUGUUGCUGAAUCGUAAUAAAAUGGAUAGGAUUUCGGAGAACUGAGGACGCUUUGAUGGGCAAUUGUUCCAGCACUUGGUCAUCAGAGAUUUUAAGAUUUGUGGGCAGUCCUUAGGAAUAUCAGGUCUCAGGCCACAAGCAGCUAUUCCAACUGCUGCCUGCACAGGCGAACAUGCGGCAUAGG